AUGAACGCUGGCGGCGUGCCUAAUACAUGCAAGUCGAGCGAACAGACGAGGAGCUUGCUCCUCUGACGUUAGCGGCGGACGGGUGAGUAACACGUGGAUAACCUACCUAUAAGACUGGGAUAACUUCGGGAAACCGGAGCUAAUACCGGAUAAUAUAUUGAACCGCAUGGUUCAAUAGUGAAAGACGGUUUUGCUGUCACUUAUAGAUGGAUCCGCGCCGCAUUAGCUAGUUGGUAAGGUAACGGCUUACCAAGGCAACGAUGCGUAGCCGACCUGAGAGGGUGAUCGGCCACACUGGAACUGAGACACGGUCCAGACUCCUACGGGAGGCAGCAGUAGGGAAUCUUCCGCAAUGGGCGAAAGCCUGACGGAGCAACGCCGCGUGAGUGAUGAAGGUCUUCGGAUCGUAUAACUCUGUUAUUAGGGAAGAACAAAUGUGUAAGUAACUAUGCACGUCUUGACGGUACCUAAUCAGAAAGCCACGGCUAACUACGUG
rnacentral:rRNA from 1 species